rnacentral:lncRNA from 1 species
UGUCCCCAUGGAGUUGGGGUGCACCACCCUCCCAGCACAUGGACGUGUUCUGCUAUCCGGAAGCUCUCUGAACCCCAUAGUUCAGUACUUCGGCUUCAUCAGGUAGGCAUGAUGGAAGAUUAAUUCAGUCUCUAGCCCUUCCCCAUCUCUAAAGAAUGGAGGAUGGGGCUGAAAGCUCCAAGCUUCUAAUCAUUGCUUAGUCUUUCCAGUGAGCAGCCCCUGUCCAGGAGCUCACCAAGAGUCCCCUUAUUAGAAAAAAAGAUGUUCCUCAGAAAAAUUCCAAGGGAUUCAGGAACUCUAAGUCAGGUGUUCCUAUUACUCAGGAAAUCAAAGGUUUAAGAGCUCUGUCUCAGGUACCUGGGGCAGAGACCCAAUAAUUCCAACAAAAGUUUCUCCUAGAACCCCUAUUGCUCAGGAAAUCACAAGGGUUUUCGAAGCUCUGUGCCAGGAACUUGGGGUGGAGACCAAUAUACAUCAUUCUUUUUUUUUUUUUUUUUUUUGAGAUGGAGUUUCACUCAUUGCCCAGGCUGGAGUGCAAUGGCACGAUCUCAGCUCACCGCAACCUCCGCCUCCUGGUUCAAGCGAUUCUCCUGCCUCAGCCUCCCAAGUAGCUGGGAUUACAGGAAUGCGCCACCAUGCCUGGAUGAAGAAAUGGGAGUGGGCAACUUGCCCAAAGUAGCA